UGGGGGAUAUUGCACAAUGGGCGAAAGCCUGAUGCAGCGACGCCGCGUGGGGGAUGAAGGCCUUCGGGUUGUAAACUUCUUUUGCUCUGAACAAGGCAUGCUAAUGGGUGUGUUGAGUGUAGGGGUUGAUUAGCGCCGGCUAACUACGUGCCAGCAGCCGCGGUAAUACGUAGGGCGCGAGCGUUGUCCGGAAUUAUUGGGCGUAAAGGGCUUGUAGGUGGCUGGUUGCGUCUGUCGUGAAAGCUCAUGGCUUAACUGUGGGUUUGCGGUGGGUACGGGCUGGCUUGGGUGCAGUAGGGGGGGCUGGAAUUCCUGGUGUAGCGGUGGAAUGCGCAGAUAUCAGGAGGAAUACCGGUGGCGAAGGCGGGUCUCUGGGAUGUUACUGACACUGAGGAGCGAAAGCAUGGGGGGCGAACAGG
rnacentral:rRNA from 1 species